UAGCUAUAUUAAAACUCUGUGAUCAUCUUCUUGCAGACAAUCAUGGAAGCAGAUUUGAAAGGAGAUGGGAGGAUUGUUCCAGAAGAGUGGAAGGAAUUGGUAGCAAGGCAUCCAUCUAUAUUAAAAAACAUGACUGUUCCAUAUUUGACGGAAAUAACACUGGCAUUUCCAAGCUUUGUGCUGAACACUGGAGUCCAAGAGUCAGAACUAUAGCUUCCUGGAAAUGAAACUACUUUUGCAUACAUAGAUACAAGUCACUAACUCUGGUUUUGAGAAGCACUGAACACAUCAAGGAAUUUCCAUAUGGAGAUUUCUGUAUAAUGUUUUCACUUGAAGAAAGUGGCACAAUAAAAGACUGUCAAGAGCCAAAGGUUCACUUACAUAUGGUUUUUUGAUAUAGUUUUCUGUGUCAGUUUCAUUGUUGCCAAUGUAUGAACAAAGACUAAUUCUAUGUUACACACCUUUAAUUUUAAGUCUUGUGGUCUAAGAUUAUGAAUUAUGACAGCUUUGCUGGAAUUGUCCAUAAAUUCAGUGGUUUUUUUGUUUUGUU